AACGUAGGGGGCAAGCGUUAUCCGGAAUUACUGGGUGUAAAGGGUGUGUAGGCGGUUAGGUAAGCCAUAUGUGAAAAGCCAGGGCUCAACCCUGGAGGUGCAUAAGGAACUGCAGAACUAGAGUACAGGAGAGGUAAGCGGAAUUCCUAGUGUAGCGGUGAAAUGCGUAGAUAUUAGGAAGAACACCAGUGGCGAAGGCGGCUUACUGGACUGAAACUGACGCUGAGACACGAAAGCGUGGGGAGCGAAC
rnacentral:rRNA from 1 species